rnacentral:lncRNA from 1 species
UAAUGAGGGAUUUAUUGAGGGUACACUUGGCAUUGUGAUAGAGGUUUUUGAGGUAAACUGGUAUGGAGACGAGGGUUGUUGAGGGUAGACUGGGUAUUGAGACAGAGGGUUGUUGAGGUUACUGGGGUAUUGAGACAGAGGGUUUGUUGAGGUAUACUGGUAUUGUGCAAGAGGGUUGUUGAGGGUAUACUGGGUAUUGAGACAGAGGGUGUUUGAGGGUAACACACUCUGGGUAUUGAAGACAGAGGGUGUUUGAGGGAAACUGGUAUUGAGACAGAGGGUGUUUUAGGUACAACUGGGUAAGGGGUUUUUGAGGGUACCUGGGCAUUGUGAUAGAGGGUUUUUGAGGGUACACUGGGUAAUGAGACAGAGGGUUGUUGAGGGUACACUGGGUAUUGAGACAGAGGGUUGUUGAGGGUAUCUGGUAAUUGAGACAGAGGGUGUUGAGGGUAUACUGGGUAUUGGGACAGAGGGGGUUUGUUAGGGUUAU